rnacentral:tRNA from 1 species
GGCGACGCUGCCGCGGCGGCUCGGGGCGGCCGGGUUCGCACGGCCGGAGACCGAGCUGGGUGCGCGGUCGUUCCGGUUCCGGGCCGGCCGCGGCUA